CCCUCCUCUCAUCUUUCCCACUCUGCAUCCCUCUCGCUUCUUCUGGCUGCCCUAAGUUAGAAUGAGGAAAGAACUCAAGAGCUCACAGAUUGGCAGUGAUCACAAGAAUAGCACUGCAAGUGUGUUGAAAGGACACUGAGGACUGACAUUCCCCAAGCAACCAAUGUUGGCAGCACUUCACCUCCAUGAUGGAUCCUGGGAAUAUCCCAAUGGCUUGUUAUCUACCUGUUGGCGGUCCUGAGGGCAAGCCAAGUGGGAGCGCUCGACGGGGAACAAAUGAGAACAGAAGGAAGAGAAGAGUUAAAUGUGCAUCUUUGGGAUUGUCUUUCUAAGUUGGGAAGUGGGAAUGACUGGUGCCAAGUAUCACGGUACCUCAGAGAACUGACUCAUAAUACACAUGAAGGCUGACUGAGCGUGACUGAAUCCUGAGGGGGUGUUGGCCAAGAGAACAGACAGAGAAGCUACAGUUCAAGAAGGAGCUCUUGUGACAUGAAGAUGAGGUAGUGUGACAUGAAAGCCAUACUGUCUUCAAAGCCUUCCUCUGCUUAGAGUGAACCAUGAGGGAGA
rnacentral:lncRNA from 1 species